UGGGCUGUAUGGCAUACCGUGUUAACUAGUUAUUUUCUAUUGUACAGAUUUUUAUCCCUUUUUGGUGAAAAUAUGAUUCUAAUUUUGUUUAUCGAUAAUAUUGAAUAUUUAUGAAUAAUAUUGUGAGAUUUUGUAUAAUUUAAUAAUUUAAAAUUUUUUUAAAUAUUUGCAUGCAGUGAUUUGUACAUCUAACUGUAUAUAUAGAACCUAUUUAUUGCUGUUUGAGCUUCUAUGAACCUUGCAAAUUAUUUACCUCUCAACAUUCCCUAUUUAUUAUCACUUGUAAAGAAUUUUGGAAGAACUAUGAUUUUUAAAAUUCACUAGAAUGGCUAGAAUUGAAAACAACUGGAGUUGCCCAAGUUUUUUGGCAUAUUCUUUACCAAUACAGGUGUGUUCAAAAGUCUACUGAAGUUUCACAUUUUGAUUCAGAAAGUUUACAGAGGAUAUCAAUCGACCACCCAAUGUCCAUUACUGUUGUAUAAAUAUAUCAACUAGUUUAAUAAAUUCUCUAG
rnacentral:misc_RNA from 1 species